rnacentral:rRNA from 1 species
AAUAUUGCACAAUGGGCGCAAGCCUGAUGCAGCCAUGCCGCGUGUAUGAAGAAGGCCUUCGGGUUGUAAAGUACUUUCAGCAGUGAGGAAGGUGGGUAUGUUAAUAGCAUAUUCAUUUGACGUUAGCUGCAGAAGAAGCACCGGCUAACUCCGUGCCAGCAGCCGCGGUAAUACGGAGGGUGCGAGCGUUAAUCGGAAUUACUGGGCGUAAAGCGCAUGCAGGUGGUUUGUUAAGUCAGAUGUGAAAGCCCGGGGCUCAACCUCGGAAUUGCAUUUGAAACUGGACAAACUAGAGUACUGUAGAGGGGGUAGAAUUUCAGGUGUAGCGGUGAAAUGCGUAGAGAUCUGAAGGAAUACCGGUGGCGAAGGCGGCCCCCUGGACAGAUACUGACACUCAGAUGCGAAAGCGUGGGGAGCAAACAGGAUUAGAUACCCUGGUAG